rnacentral:snRNA from 1 species
GCAUGUGAAGGCAAUCUGGCUGUGACAUCUGUCACCCCAUUGAUAGGGUUGAUUUGGCUGAUCUGACUGGCUAGGUGGGGGUCCCCUGUCUCCCUCUCCACUCCAUAUGUAUCCCUCCUGAAGAUGCAUGCUCGGUCCAAGAGGACGAUCUUCUCUGAUGGAGGAGGACCAUUCUCCAGUCAUGGGUAUAGAAGUAUCUGUGCUCCUCUGCUCAAACCUCCAAACAAGUUCUCAAAGUCCAUUUGUAGGAGAACGUAGGACAGUCAAGUUUCCAAGACUCCAGAUACUUCAGAUGAUGUGCUGCAUUGGCAGUCUGCCUUUCUUU